UUCUCCACUAGAAAUUUCUCUGAAUCCGGUCGAGUUGAUCAAGUGUUUCUUUUGGCAGAGCAAGAAUUUGCAUUUGAUAGGUUGGAUAAGAUUGAAGGAUAGAUUUUAUCAAGACAGUCCUACCCUCUUGAGAUAACAGUUUUGAGUGUAAAAUUGAGGUUUUUGGAGGAAUGCGGUCCUCCUCAUAUUUUAGGGGUUUUUUUGUUUCCUUUUGAAUCCUAUCCUUCCUCGGCUGCUAUUUCUCUCCCUCAAAAUAAAACCAAAAAAUAUAAAAUCAUUCUCUCAAACUACGAGUAUUUUCUAGGGUUUUACUACUACUCGUACUACACCAAGUCGAGGUACUAGUGCUAGGUUAAUCAUAGAUGCACAUGAUGAACCACCAUGACAGAUAUAGGUUUCCUUCAAUUUCACAACAGUCCUUAUGGCCACCUGGUGUUGAUGCGUCUUCUUCUUUCAGCCGUUGUUUUGCUGGUACUAAGCGUACUUCUUCCGAAGCACUCUACCAUCAGACUUAUCUGGGAACAAGUAACACUUUUGGGCAAAGUGAGGCUUUUUAUUCUGCAAACAAUCUAAGCAAGCGCCCUAGGUUCGAGAGCACAAGCCAUUUGCCUAUCUAUCCCCAAAGGCCAGGAGAGACGGACUGUUCUCACUAUAUGCUCACAAGAACCUGUAGGUUUGCUGAUACCUGCAAGUUCGAUCAUCCUAUUUGGGUUCCCGAGGGUGGUAUCCCGAAUUGGAAAGAGGUUCCACUUGUCCCUUUGGGUGAUACUCUUCCGGAAAGACCCGGAGAGCCUGCUUGUCCUUACUUCCUGAAGACCAAAAAGUGCAGAUUUGGUUUUAAAUGCAAGUUCAACCACCCAAAAGAUAUAGCAAAGUCUGUGGAUGCUUCUAAGAUUGUUGAUCUUUCUCUAUUACCUGAAAGGCCAUAUGCUCCACCAUGUGCAUUUUACGUGAAGACUGGAAUAUGUAAAUUUGGGGAAUCUUGUAAGUUUCAUCAUCCUAAAGAUAUUCAAAUACCAGUAACUGGUCAAGAAAAUGGUUGCGCAGAGCACGAUGCCUCCGUGGGUUCUUUUGAUAGAAUAAUGUCGGUGAAACCACCAUUUGUUCCAUUUACCCCAGCAUCAUUGCAUAAUACCAAAGGACUUCCCGUUAGACCGGGUGAAGUGGAUUGCCCUUUCUAUCUUAAGACUGGCAGUUGCAAGUAUGGCGCCACUUGUCGUUACAGUCAUCCUGAGAGAGCAGUCAUCAACAUAUCAGUUGCCCCUGGCCUAGGGCAAGCAAUGAUGACCUCCUCAGCAUCUAGUAUGAAUGUUGGACUCAUCAAUCCUGCUGCUUUGGUUCUUCCGACCAUCGACCCAAGGCUUGGACAAGCAGCGCUGGGGUUGGGAGUGGCUGUCUACCCUCAACGACCUGGACAGACGGAAUGUGCAUUUUACAUGAAAACCGGGGAUUGCAAGUUUGGUGAGAGAUGCAAGUACCAUCAUCCGAUAGAUCGGACAGCAGCGACUCAGCCAAUGCCUAAGCAGGAUGUAAAACUCACCCUUGCAGGACUACCUAGGAGAGAGGGUGCAGUGGUCUGCCCUUUCUACAUGAAGACAGGGGCAUGCAAAUAUGGUUCUAGUUGCCGAUUUGAUCACCCCCCACCAGGGGAGGCUGUAGCCAUGGCUACAGUAGUACAAGGAUCUUCAUCUGCCCCCCCAUCGGGGGAGGCUAUAGCCAUGCCUACAGUAACACAAGGAUCUUCGGAUGCUGCUGAGGGCGGAGAAGGUAAUAAUAAUAAUAAUAAUAAUAAUAAUGAGGGAGGUGGGGAUCACACAAUAGUACCAGAAGCAGCCAUCUCAUUUGGCUCCACAAGUUAACCGAGCUAAAGUUUUCUGUACUUGUAUUCUAAUGUCUUUUUAGUUCAAUUUUUUUAUUUAUUUUCUUGUAUCAUCGAGGAACUGGUCAGCGCUCAGGUCAGCCAAAAACAUAAUCUAAAGUAGGAGAGAGAGGGAGAAACAGAAAGGGCUCAUGGUGUUUCCUUCACGGAAAUAAUCAUUUAAGAUGUUGUGAUAGGCAUGAAAAUGGGAAGUUCCCUGACGGAUAACGUCUUCAAAGAAGCUAGGGCUGAUGAUUCCAUUGGAGGGGCUGAACCAUGAUAAUAAUGUCUACCAAAGUGGUUAGGAGGUGUCCUAGUGUCAUGUUAAAGGUCUAGAUUAUCCUUCCAUUUUUAAAAGGACUAAAUUACCCUCCUAUCUAUUCAAACCUAAUCAUUAAAAAAAAAACGAAAUCAAAAUCAGUGUUUCUUUGAUAAUCAUCAUCAAAUAUAUUUAAACCUAAAAAAAACUAUGAUUUCUGGAGUUACGGUUGGUUAUUCUUCAAUUAUCAACCGUAAACUCGAUUUCUGAAGGUGUUACGGUUUACUGAAGAACUACCAACCGUAAAUCCUAAAAACUAUUUGGAAUAUCCAGUUAUGGUUCAUUUUUGUAACCGUAAAAUUAUUUACGGUUGUUUCGAUUUUAACAGUACUAACCGUAAAAAUUUCUGAGUAAAAAUAAGUUAAGUUUUUGAGUUUGAUUACGGUUGGCUUUGACUUGAAUGUUAUCAGCCGUAAGUAGUUACGGUUGGACACUAGCCACUGGAAAACGAUCCGUAACCUAUUUACGGUUCGUCU